UCCCUUUCUAGCCUCAUGCAUCUCAAGGG
rnacentral:piRNA from 1 species